AGGCGCGAAAACUUUACAAUGCGGGCAACCGUGAUAAGGGGACACCGAGUGCCAGCAACAUUUGCUGGCUGUCCAGGUGCGUAAAAUGCACCUGUUAGCAAGGGCCGGGCAAGACCGGUGCCAGCCGCCGCGGUAACACCGGCGGCCCGAGUGGUGAUCGUUAUUAUUGGGUCUAAAGGGUCCGUAGCCGGUUUGGUCAGUCCUCCGGGAAAUCUGUCAGCUCAACUGAUAGGCUUUCGGGGGAUACUGCCAGACUUGGAACCGGGAGAGGUAAGAGGUACUACAGGGGUAGGAGUGAAAUCUUGUAAUCCCUGUGGGACCACCUGUGGCGAAGGCGUCUUACCAGAACGGGUUCGACGGUGAGGGACGAAAGCUGGGGGCACGAACCGGAUUAGAUACCCGGGUAGUCCCAGCCGUAAACGAUGCUCACUAGGUGUCAUGCAUGGUGCGACCGUGUAUGGUGCCGUAGGGAAGCCGUGAAGCGAGCCACCUGGGAAGUACGGCCGCAAGGCUGAAACUUAAAGGAAUUGGCGGGGGAGCACAACAACGGGUGGAGCCUGCGGUUUAAUUGGACUCAACGCCGGACAACUCACCGGGGGCGACAGCAAUAUGUAGGCCAAGCUAAAGACUUUGCCUGAAUCGCUGAGAGGAGGUGCAUGGCCGUCGCCAGUUCGUACUGUGAAGCAUA
rnacentral:rRNA from 1 species